rnacentral:lncRNA from 1 species
AAAAGUUUGAACGUGCGCUUUCCCAUUGUUCUUAAAUGCUCUGAUUUUUAAAAGGUCAAUAGAAAGAUGCCCACCUUUUUUGAUGGUUUAUAAACGCAAGAGCCAAUAAUUUCAAUAUUUUCCAGUUUUUGAUGACUGGAGUGGCAGAUAUGGCCUUCAUGCUUCUUUCUGCCUCUGAUGUGUCAAGUCACAGUCUGCUCCUUUAUAAUUAGCUCAAUCGUGCACACAUGUUUGGAUCUCAGCUAUUUAAACCCCCUGCCUGGCACUUUGUUUGCAUGCUCAUACAAAGUGCCAGUGUUAUUCUUUGGAUUGGUGCUUCUGCUCCUGACUAUCCCAUCCCAUCCCACUCCUGCCCUGGUCUGGAAGGAGAUCCCGCAGGACACCAUCCAUCAUCUCAUCAGGAGCAAGCCUGGAGGUCAUAAGGAGGGCAGACAGACCCGUGGAGACUGUACAGACUACCCCGCCACAUUGAUGUGGUGUGUAUUUCUCUGGCCCAGUGUUGGAGAGUUCUGA